rnacentral:lncRNA from 1 species
UUCGAGAAGCAAUACAGAAGCAUAAUUUGCAACCAGAGCAACAUCUCGUCCUCGCUAGAAAUGGCCAUUCCAGUCAUCGAUUUCUCGAAGUUGGAGGGGAAGGAAAGAGCUGAAACCUUGGCACGGAUUGCCAAUGGAUGCCAAGAAUGGGGAUUCUUUCAGGUUUGCAUCCCAUUUGUCUGGUUCCUUCUUUCUCCUUACUGGGAUCUUUUCGAGUUGACGCUGGUACUAAAGCAGAGGAAUCUACCUGACCUGUUUGCAGCUGGUGAACCAUGGGAUUCCGGUGGAGUUCUUGGAACGCGUGAAGAAGGUGUGCUCCGAGUGCUACAGACUCAGAGCGGAGGGCUUCAAGGCGUCCAAACCUGUGCAGCUGUUGAACAAGCUGGUGGAAGAAGAAGGCGACGCCGCCGAUGCUAAGCGCUUGGAUAACGUGGAUUGGGAGGAUGUCUUCCUUCUCCAGGAUGACAACGAGUGGCCGGCCAACCCUCCAGAGUUCAGGUGAUCAUCAACUUCCACGCAGGGCUCGUCAGGCUAAUUGAUAUGUAGUUAUAAGUGCCUAACGUAUGCCCUCUUCAUGCGCAAUCUUGCAGGGAGAUCAUGAAGGAGUACAGGGAAGAGCUGAGGAAGCUGGCUGAGAAGGUGAUGGAAGUAAUGGAUGAGAAUCUGGGGUUCGAGAAGGGCUCCAUCAGGAACUCAUUCUCCGGAAACGGCGAGCAUCAACCCUUCUUCGGCACCAAGGUGAGCCACUACCCACCGUGCCCGCGCCUGGACAUGGUGAACGGCCUUCGCGCCCACACCGACGCAGGCGGCGUCAUCCUCCUCUUCCAAGACGACCAAGUGGGCGGCCUGCAGAUCCUUAAAGACGGGCAGUGGAUCGACGUGCAGCCAGUGGCCAAUGCCAUCGUCAUCAACACGGGAGACCAGAUCGAAGUCCUCAGCAACGGGCGGUACAAGAGCGUGUGGCACCGGGUGCUGACGACCAGCGACGGCAACCGCCGCUCCAUCGCUUCCUUCUACAACCCCUCCUUGAAGGCCACCAUCGCUCCAGGGACCAACAAGGACGGCUCUGCUACAGCGCUGUACCCCAAGUACGUUUUCGGGGACUACAUGGAUGUGUACGUGAAGCAGAAGUUCUUGGCCAAGGAGCCGCGGUUCGCGGCGGUGAGAGCCGUGUGAGGAUAGCAAAAGUGCACGUUAUUCAUUAAGAUAUAUUGUUCCUUCGAUUGAAUUCUUCGCAUGAGAAGAACGUUUGUUUGCAUCAGAUUAAUUCUUCAUGUAAUGAAUAAAACGAGUCGUCUGCCUCUCAACUUUGAUCAUAUAUGUUCUGAUUUUUUUUGUUAUUUUAAUAGAAGAUCAUGACAAAGAUAAACAUAAAAUAAUAUUUUAAAUAUUUUAAAUAAAUAUAUGAUUUAUAUGAUUUGAUUGAGUAAUUUGAGGAUGUAAUUAAGAAAAAUCCCUCUCUAAAUCAUCACUCUUUACAACAAGUUCUUCAAUUGAUAAUGGUAUCAAAGGUCAGCUUUUCGAUUUUUUUUUUUUUUUUUUUCUGUCCGACGAUAGUAAUCUCUCCUCUUUGUUGACCUGCCACAGCGAUUAUCUCGCUGCUCGUUUACUCUUUUGCCCAGCAGUCCUUCUCCUAUGCUAUCAAUCACAGAUUUGUUCUUCUCGCUCAUCACCGUCCUCCGUCAUUGAUUUGCUCUUCUUGCUGACCUGUUUGGCAUAGCUUCCUCUGUUCCUCCUCUUCACCCACCGCUUUUGUUGUUGCUGCAGUAACAACAUCAUCACCUCCUUUGCAGCAACCACAGCACACUCAUCAUCGAUCAACAGCAACACCGCCUCCUCGCCGCAGCAGCAACGACAAUGCGAUCUCCCCUUCGUGUUAUGCUCUGUAGCAACAGCAGCACCAGACGUCGCUGAUCUACUGCAAUAGCAGCCAUCGCCUCCUCGCCGCAGCAACAACGACAGUGCGAUCUCCCCUUAGUAAUUUGUGCAACAGAUUUGUUCCACCACCUUGAUGAUUUGAUCAAUCCUCUGGCGAUGCUGAUCUAAUUUACCCACCAUCGACGAUCGUUCCCCUCUCCAUUGCUGAUCUGAUCAGUCAUCCAUUUCGCUAGUCUGACCAGUCCUCCGAUAAUAUGCAGCAGAUCAUUCCCCUCUCUGACAAUUUGAUUUGAUCAGUCCUUCAUCCUUUCCAUGCAAAGACUUCUCCACUCGUCUACAAUUUGCAUCGGGACUCCUUGUUGAUCUAUUGCCUCGUCGCUACACCGACGAUUCUUCCUCCGCCCUAGAUCAACAACAUUAGCCAUCAGUUGCUUCCUCCUGACUAACUUUCGUCGGCUUCUUCAGUGGCAUCAUCUUUUCGUGUGACCCAUAUCGCACGGGUGCCAAGGCCAUCGAUUACAUUGCACAAUGUGCCAUCUCUAACAUGUCAAACUUUGCAUCAUCUGCUACUAUUUACUACUCUAGCGUGUCAAUCUCCUCCGACUACUUAAGAAUCUUAUCUUCUUCCUCUUAUAAUUUUGACACUCCGAUAAUUAUUCCCUUAGGGAACAAUAUUUAUUCUUCACUUACAAACUCAUUUCUACUAAUAUAAUAAUUUUGAUCCCCUUCAAACUCUCCAAAAGUAUAAAUUAUAGUUAUAUUAAGAUUAUCUUAUUUAACAAGUCAUUCAAGUCUUAGUUACUAGUUCUAUAACAUAAUUAAUCUCUUUAUGUAGCACUGUGACAGAAUCAUGAUCCAAGUUACAAACAUCUUCAUGAAUUGCUCUUGCACUCGCAUGCUAAAUCUUGUCCGUUUUAAUAAAAAUAAUUCAAGAAGAAAAUACUAUUGUUAAUUAUAUGUAAAAUAUAAAAAUUAUUAUAGAUCAUAGUCUCAAUAGUCUAAGAGAUGAAUACAAGAAACUAACUAUAGUAAUUCGGAUACGUGACUCACAAAUAUCUUUUGAAGAACUAUAUGAUAAGAUAAUUGAUUAAAAAAAUAUAUUUAUAACAAAAGAACAGAAAUAUGAGACUAAUUAUCAUAGCUCAAUUCAAUAAAAAAUCUAAAAGAAAAAAAAGACAAUCAAGCAACAAUAACUUCAAUAAUGGAUCAUAAGUCUCUUAAACCUAAACAUAUGGGUACAUAGAGUCAUCAUCAUCCAUUACAAACUCUCCAACCAUUGUGGGAAAUUCAACUCAAACAACUCAAGAAAUAAUUUCAACUACAUAACUCAAGAAAUAACUCCUUUGCACUAUUAAAUUUUUUUCAUAACUCUUUUAUUAUAAAAGAUAUAAGCACAGGGGCAUCUUUAGUCUGAGAUCAUAAUAAAAAAUAAUAUUUACGAAUGAUCAUCAACUUCACAAAUCACCUGAUCAAUCGCUUUUACUUUAGUUACUGCUCCAAUCGAUAUAUGGUAUUGUCACAUUGGUCAUCUAUCAUUCUCCAUUCAAGAUUAGCUAAUCUCUUGUUACUUUCUUCUAAAUUUCAAAUCAAGUAGAAUUAUAGCUCAUUGUGAUGCUUGUUAAUAUUUCUCACCGACUAGCAAAUUCUUUUACAAAGCCUUUCACUCAUACGAUGUUUUAAUUAUAUUUGUCUUAGAUUUCAAAAUUGACAUCCUUGAUAAAAGUUAAAGCUCAGGGCAUGAUAGAAGAUCAUGAAAGAAGUAAACAUGGAAUGAUAUUCUUAUAUUCCUUUUGUCUUCAAUCAAUCAUAGGGGCAUCUUUAAUUCAAGUUCAAAAUAAAGACAACAUUUUGAAUGAUCAUCAACUUCACAAAUCAUCUAACCAAUCAUUUUUGCUUCAAUUAAGAUAUAUUGUUCCUUUGAUUUAAUUCUUUGCAGGUAAUGAGUAAAACGAAUCCUCACCUCUCGACUUCAAUCAUCUAUGUUCCGAAUUCUACGAUUCUUUCAUGUUAAUAGAAAUAAUGACAAAGGUAAAUAUAAAAUGAUAUUUUUUAGUUCUUAUGUCUUAAAUAAAUUUAUAAUUUAAAGAUCAAUCUGUAUAUUUUAACUGAGUAAUUUGAGUAUAUAAUUAAGAAAAAAAAUUUCUUAAAAUCUAUAUAUAUACACAUCAACUUAAUAAAAAAAAUCAUGACUCUUUACAUGUUCUUCAAUUAAUCAUGAUAUCAUAGCUCUUCUUACCUCAAGACUUCCCUUUCCUCAUUAUCUGGUGAUAGUAGUCUUUUUCUUCGCUAAUAUACCGAUUACCUCGCUAUCGAUUUCCUUUUUUACCCAACGGUCCUUCUCCAAGGCCAAAUCUAUCACAGAAUUGUUCUUCUCUCCUACCAUCGCCCUCCAUCAUUGAUUUUCUCAUCUCACUAACAUGCUUGGCAUAGCUUACUCAGUUGCUCCUCUUCACUCAUAAAUAUUGUUGUUGCUAUAGCAACAAUAGCAAUGCCUCCUCGUCAUAGCAACAAUGACAAUGCGAUCUCCCCUUCAUGAUAUGUUCUGUAGCAAUAGCAACACCAAACAUCGUAGUAAUAAUGACAGUGCGAUCUCCCCUUCAUGAUCUGCGCAACAGAUUUGCUCCACCACCUCGAUCAUUUUAUCAAUCCUCUGGUGACCCCGAUCUGAUCUGCCGCCUUCAAUGAUUGUUUCCCACUCCAUUGCUGAUCUAGUCAGUCAUCCACCACACUGAUUUCACUAGUCCUCUGGCAAUCUAUAGUAGAUCAUUCCCCUCUCCGAUAAUCUGAUUCCUUUAUCCUUUCCCCAUAAAGACUCCUCCACUCAUCAAUAAUUUACAUUGUGACUACUUGUUGAUCUAUUGCCUCGUCAUUGCACCUAUGAUUCUUCCUCUGCCCUAGAUUACCAACAUCAGCCAUUAGUGCAACAUAAGCAUUGCUUCCUUCGGCUUCUUCAAUGACAUCAUCUUUUCUUGUGACCCACCGUAGGAGUGCAAGGCCAUAAGUGAUAUUUCACAAUGUGGCAAACUUUGCAUCAUCUGCUACCGUCCACUAUCUCCUCUCCUCUUACUAUUUAACAAUAAUGUCUUCUUCCUCUUCUAAUUUUGAUACUCCGGUGAUUAUUCGCUUAAGGAACAAUAUUUGCUCUUCACCUACGAGACUCAUCUCAAUUAAUGCAACAACAUUGAUUCAUUUCAAACUCUCCAAAGGUGAAUUAUAUAUCUCGGUAAGUUCUAUCGAUGGCAACAUUGAUAUGACUUGCUAAGUUAUAUCGAUGGCUCCUUUAAUUGUCCACCCAAAGAUAUCUAUGAGAAUCAAUCCUAAUGGCAAAUUCUAACCAUAAAUUAUGGUUAUGCCAAAAUCGUCUUAUUUUAUAUGUCAUUCAAGCCUCAAUUAUUGACUCUAUAGUACCACUAAUAUCUUUCAUGUAAUAUUUUGAUAGAAGCAUGGUCCAAGUUAUAAACCAUCUUCGUGAAUCACUCUCGCACUCGAAAAACUAAGUUUUUUUUAUACUUUGAUGAAAACAACCCAAGAGAAAAGUAUUAUUAUUGAUUAUAUAUAAAAUCUAAAAAUUAUUAUAGUUAAUUUAAUUUUAAUAAGUUAUCCCUCGUGUACACGAAGAAGUCACUGUUCACAAUCUCAAUAGCCUAAGAGACGGAUAUAAAAAACUAGUAACAACAAUUUAAGCAUGUGACUCAUCAAUGUUAUUUGAAUAACUAUAUAACAACAUGAAACAUAUUUAAAACAAGAAGAGAUAAAAAUAGGACCAACUAUCAUAAUUUAAUUCAAUAAAAAAUCCAAAGGAAAAGACUAUUAAAGUAGCAAGAACUUCAAAAAACUUGCUAAACAAGAAGUCUCCUAAACACCUAGAUAAUAAAUAGAGUCAUCAUCAUUUAUUACACUAUUAAAUCUUGAUAAUAACUUCAACUCAAAUAGCUAAGAAAAUAAAUUCAACUACACAAUUCAUGAAAUAACUCCAUUACAUUAUUGAGUUUUUUCUUGACUUGUUUACUGUAAACGAUCUGAGCACAAGAUUGACAUUAAGCUCAAUCUUACCAGAGCAUGAUCAAAGAUCAUAAUAAAGGUAAACAUAAAAAGACAUUCUUAUAUUUAUUACAUCCUCAAUCAAUAUUAUAUUUAAAUAUAAAUUUGAUUAAAUAAUUUGAGUACAUGAUCUCAAGACUUAAAACAUGGAAUGAACUUGUGAGCAAUGUACUGAAGAAACGAAAUAUGUUGUAUAGGCACGAUGGAAACCAGGAAGCCUCGAGUAGGGUUCAUAGUCAAAGCCGGUCAACAUUCGGUAUAGUAGGAGGAUUUUGGGCAGACAUCUUAUCGACGUGACCUAACAUUUUCCAAAGUCGAGCUGCAUCAUAACGUUUUGGUCGUUUAUUUCAUGAGCUGAUCUCCUUGUAGACGGGAUAAGACGGCGGUUUACUUGACCAUGGAGAAAAGGUUUGACCAGGAACACAGCUUAGUUCCCGGUAAUUUCCUCUGAUUGGUAUGUGAGAUUUGAUAGGGAAGCUUGAUGCAGUAUAAAAGGUCCCAGUUGGCUCCAUUUCUCUUCAUCGAUCCAUUCGAGAAGCAAUACAGAAGCAUAAUUUGCAACCAGAGCUUCAUCUCCUCCUCGCUAGAAAUGGCCAUUCCAGUCAUCGAUUUCUCGAAGUUGGAGGGGAAGGAAAGAGCUGAAACCUUGGCACGGAUUGCCAAUGGAUGCCAAGAAUGGGGAUUCUUUCAGGUUUGCAUCUCAUUUGUCCGGUUCCUUCUUUCUCCUUACAGGGAUCAUUUCGAGUUGACGCUGGUACUAAAGCAGAGGAAUCUACCUGACCUGUUUGCAGCUGGUGAACCAUGGGAUUCCGGUGGAUCUCUUGGAGCACGUGAAGAAGGUGUGCUCCGAGUGCUACAGGCUCAGAGCGGAGGGCUUCAAGGCGUCCAAAC